GGAUGCCCAGCGCAGAGGCCGCCUGCCCUCACCACGGCCCAACAGCGGCCAGGGCCAGCCAGGCACGGGGGGUCCUCUGGAUGGCGGAAGGAGCCGGGCCCAGCCUUGCCUGAGGUGCAUCGCAGGAGAGUCUGGACAUUUUAACCACACGGAAGAUCGGUAGAAGAACGUGCUGGGAGAGGAAGGUCCCGGUCAUGGUUUCGAGCCCUCGUGCACCAGAGACGUACUCCCCAGGUGGACCUGGCGCCUCCUGUUCCGAGGUCCCACCUCCUCACUCCAGAGCCAAAGAGCCUCCAGACCUCACUCCCGAAGCUGCCUUUCCAGUGCAGCCUGCUGGGGAAGAUCAACGGCUUUAUUUAAACGUUGAAAGUGUCCAGCGUCAGCUCCCUGUGAGGUUUGAGAGUCCGCACCCAGAUGUAAAGCCCCACUCCGUACUUUGCUGUUGUUUCGAGGGUGUAUCCAGAGCUGCUCAUGUGCUCUUUUUUAAUUAAAAGUCUUAUUUUUAUAUUGAAAA